AAAGGUGGCCCAGAUUUCUUGGUCUAGUGGCAGUCGGAGUGCAUGGUCUAGUGGUCUACUGGCGGUCGAAGUCGACACUACCAAAAUCUAGUCCAAACCUAGGCCAGGCUUAGGCUCGUAGUGUAAACACGGCUUCAGAUGCAGACAAGUCUCGGUAAAAAAAAUUUUUAACCCAUUAAGCUGCUGAGCUUUUCCAUUGACAAGCCUCAGACUUGGUGAUUGUCGGGGAAUAUUCACCUCAACUUUGUCUCUGCAAAUAUUCCCCGAUAUAAAUCACCUCACCUUUGGCGAACAAUUGUUAACACCAACACAAAUAUUAUCAUAUACAAAGCAGACAACAAAUUACAUUAUUAUUCUUUUGAUAUAACUUAUAUAAUUUGAUGAAUUAUUUUUAGUUGCAGAAAAAACAGCAUUAUUGGAGGCAGAAAAACGGAAAUCAACAGGAAAUCUCCCACUGCCAAAGAGAAAAGCCAGACAAUGUAGCAAGUGCAAGGCACCAAUGAAGGUCACCUGCGAUCACAUUGUCCACACGAUGCUCCACAGACUUGAUCUGUUUACUGUAUAUUUUCAUUGUUUGUAAAUAUUGUAAAUAUUGUAAAUAGUUAAGAGAGUUGUUGUAUAUAUUGUUGAAAUAUAAUAAGUAUGAACAGAAUUAUGCAUCAGUCAGUGUACCCCCUCCCCCAACCCCUCAUAAGCUAGGAAUUGCUGGGAAUUUAAGCCUGAUUUACAUUUCAGUCAAGGGAUCUCAAAGUGGGCAAUAUGUAAAACUAAUUGUGUAAACGUCCUCUGGUUAAAAAGAUUUAUUUAUUACUAAAUAAAUAAAUAAGUAAUAAAUAAAUCUUUUUAACCAGAGAACGUUUACACAAUUAAUUAUGAAUCCUGGAUUUUUAAAUAUGUAAAACAUUAAGAGGAGAUUUUUUACAAACUCGCGUAAUUUUUGUCAAAAACGCUCAAAACUUAGUAACCAGGCUUUUGCUACUAAGGGCCAAAAACCCGGGAGCUUAUACCCGGGUUACGGCGAACUGCAAGUGAGCGAUACUUCAAAAACGUUUUGGCGGGAAAAAAUAUAACAGCAAAAAGAAAGCAUUAAAGACAAAAAAGUUUAAGUGAAAAGGUUAGUACAAUUAUUCUUUAUUCCAUAUUAAAUUCUGGUUCAAAAUUCUAUGCUAAAAGUGUAAUUUUUUGUGAAUUGCGACAGGUCAAAACGUACGCUAUGCCUAUGGCCUUUUAAAUAACCUUGCCCUUGGCCUUAAUAAUGUUGCCAAUAACUGUUAAAAUUGAAAUAAAAUAUACAGAAAAACGCAUUUAAAUACGCUUUAUAAUAUAUCGCAGAACGACUGCAUUGAAUAAAAGUAAAAUGGACUUUAAAUACACUCUUUUUGUGAUAUUUUCCCCGUUUUCAACAGCUAUAUUCCUAGGUAAACAAAAUGUUUUGUUUGUUUUAAAAAAACCCUUUUCAAUACUAGUACUACACUGUCUGACAGAGUUUUUUAAAAACAAUAUUCAUAGACCAAAUUGGCAUUCAAGUGAAGAUGGAAGGCGAAGUUCCUUCAACUUCAACUGGCAGUGUUAUAGAAAUAAAGGUAGUGUAAGUUUAUGUUUCCUAGGUAUUAGUAUAAUUAGAAAUUUAUUUCCUUGCUAGUAUGGGAUACCCGGUGUUUAAUAAUACAACAUUAAACCGGGCAAAAACGUCUCUACACGAUUAUAAAUCCUUCAUGAAGUUGUAAAUCUAUAAGCAUAAAACUGGGCCUGAAGUAAUUUUCAAUUUGGAUUCGCGAGUUACCUCCAGCAUUUUUAAACAAGAAUUCAUAGUUUACUGGUACACAUGUCGUAGCCUAGCUAUCUAAAUAAAU